rnacentral:rRNA from 1 species
AGCUCCAAUAGCGUAUGUUAAAGUUGUUGCAGUUAAAAAGCUCGUAGUUGAACUUCAGGUGGAGUGAGUUUAGAGUCUGCCCACAAAAGUGGGUUACGACGUCUGACCACACCACAUCAAAACUCGCGAUUAAGUCGUGUCUGGUCUUGGUUGAUUGGAUGCGAGAACUCGAUCGCUCAUUUACUGUGAGAAAAUUAGAGUGUUCAAGGCAGGCAGUUGCGCAAUUGAAUAUGUUAGCAUGGGAUAAUAAGAUAAGACUUUUGUUUUAUUUUGUUGGUUUCUAGAACGGAAGUAAUGAUUGAUAGGGAUAGUUGGGGGUGCUCGUAUUGGAUGGCCAGAGGUGAAAUUCAUGGAUUCAUUCAAGACGAACUUAUGCGAAAGCAUUCACCAAGGAUGUUCCUUUCA